UACGUGGGGUGCGAGCGUUAAUCGGAAUUACUGGGCGUAAAGCGUGCGCAGGCGGUUUUGUAAGCCAGAUGUGAAAUCCCCGGGCUUAACCUGGGAAUGGCAUUUGGGACUGCAAGGCUUGAGUUUGGCAGAGGAGACUGGAAUUCCUGGUGUAGCAGUGAAAUGCGUAGAUAUCAGGAGGAAUACCGAUGGCGAAGGCAGGUCUCUGGGCUAGAACUGACGCUCAUGCACGAAAGCGUGGGGAGCAAACAGG
rnacentral:rRNA from 1 species